CCUCCCAUGGCAUGACAUCUGUUUGAGAUGACUGAAGGCUCAGGCACAGAACCUCCCAACAUCAUCCUGAAGGCAGCCCACACAGUCACAGGACAGAGGGUGAAGCUCUCCCUUUCAAUGGUUCAUGAACAAGAAGGGGAGAAAAGUAGACUCUUUAGAUUGGUGAUAUAAACAAACCUUAAGAGCAAAAUCAAGGAAGCAAGAUUAUUCCACAAUCCUACCCUAUUUCUAUAAAUCCACAAGAUUUAUAGAAAUCUAUCCCAGAAAGAAUAGUGAUGAGGGAGAAGAUUUUCCCAGGCAAGGCUUCAUGCCCUUCCUCACUCUCCCCUUCCUUGGGACCCCCAACUGCACAUCCACGCCAGGUACCAAUCCUGCUUUAAGCUAUUCUCAGAAGAGGAUGUUUUAAAUAUAGCAUUUUAUAGAUCCAGAAAGAUGGUCCUGUAAUGGUGGGAUUUCACCCUUGAGAAGCCAUAAAGUUAUUUUGGGGCAACAUUGCCUGCUCCGUACCCAAUGCACAGCCCAUCAAUAAAUCACUUGCUGACCGUCCUGCUGCAGAGUUACAAGGUUGGAAGACAAGAAUUGCUUGCUUCAUUGAGUCUUGCCUUCCUGAAAAGAAAAUAUCCCAAACCGACAGCAACAAAAUAUUUAAGGAAAAUUUAUGAUGCAUAUAACUUAUUCAAGCACUACCAAGAGGUUAAAGAUAAACUAUUCUGUCCCCAGAUGUGGAAAUUUUUAGACAUGAAGGAACCAAAAUAAACUUCUCAAAAAAUUAC